rnacentral:rRNA from 1 species
AUUGAACGCUGGCGACAUGCCUUACACAUGCAAGUCGAACGGCAGCACGGGUGCUUGCACCUGGUGUCGAGUGGCGCACGCGUGAGUAUUACAUCGGAACAUGUCCUCUAGUGGGGGGUAGCCAGGCGAAAGCCGGAUUGCUACUGCAUACGAACUACGGUAGAAAUAGGGGUAACUUUGGACCUCUGCCAUUGCGUCUCUCAGAGAGGAGAUCGGGUAGUAGGAGGGGGAAAGUCCUGCCAAGGCAACGCACGGUAGCUGGACUGAGAGGACGACCAGGCACACGGGAACUGGAACACGGCCCAGAUCCUUAGGGGGGGAAGCAGUGGGAAAUUUUGGAAAAUGGGCGAAAGCCUGAUCAAGCAAUGCCGCGGGGGUGAAGAAGGCCUUCGGGUUGAAAAGCACUUUUGUCCGGAAAGAAAUCGUUGGCCCUAAAACGGUCGGGGGAUGACGGUACCGGAAGAGUAAGCACCGGCUAACUACGUG